CUAGGCGACAAGCGGAUCGCUACCAACCACCGCUUCACUUCUCUCCCAGAGAAAAAAAAACCGUCUUAUCUCGAUCCCUUUCUUCCUCGACAGUGGUGUAGAAGGAGAGGAGCACCGGCGUCCACACCGGGGAGGUCGAAGGGGAGGCGGUAGAUUGGAGGAGCCCAGCGAGCCGGUCGGCCGGCGCCAUACAGAAGCAGCGCUGCCGUCUCCUUUCCCCCACUUUUUUAGGAGCUGGAUCUGAGGUGGCCAACCGCCGCUGUCGCCGCCGCCCCGUCGGGAAAAGGCCGCCAUGUAGAUCACGCAGCAGGCCGGUCCACCCGCUAAAAUCUGUUGAUUUUGCCCUUCGUUGUAUCUUCUGCACCAUCUGCUUCUCUAUUCACCCGCCAAACAAAUGAGUAUGUGCCAUGCUUUGCAGGAAAUUCAUUGAACAUAUGUACCUCUUCUCCUGAAGCCGAUGCUGCCAUGCCUAUGAAUCGGAUAUGACCGAUGCUUUGUCAAGGGCUCAUAUGAGAGAAGAAAAGGAGGCUGGAGAUGCAGAGAAAGAAGCUCUAAGCUCAACAAAGGCAUCAGGAUGAAAACGUCGGCAUUGGAGUCGUGGCCGUGGCAGGGAAGGCGAACCCAGCGCAGCUCUGCCAGUGGCUCAAGAGGAAGAUAAGCAAGGAUGUCAAGAUUUUCCGCCAUUGUCCACACGGGCUGAGAAUUGUAAUAAGCAGGGCUAGCCGUGUGGGGUUAAGGUGCUUGCCGGCGGCGACCUGCGUGGCUCUCAGCCUGCAUCCUCGCUGAACUCAACACCAACUAUCGCGCGCCUGCGAUGUGACUGCUGUUGCAACAACGACGGCCAACGGCUAUUGAACGACGAGGAUGCCCUUCGGGGUUAUAGCAUGCAAAGCAAAGCAGUUGCUCGAUCCUCACAGCCAAUAUAUCUCCGUGUAGAAGCAGAAGAAGCAACAAUUGAUUCGUAAGCAGCAAUUUUAUCUGUUUCAUUCCUUUGUAUUUUUGCCCUCUGUUUCUGCUGAAUGUAUGUAUCACUUUUUUCAGAUAUAUUGAUCUUCACAUUCUUAGUUGGCAUCCAUAGUGGUUUUAGUUGUACACAUAGCCGUUCUCAGUUGGAUACGACAAUUAGAAAAUUGCACAACACUAAACCUUUUUCCUACGGCGGUGAAAGUGGAACGGUAUACAUUGAACUGAAUACACAUGGCGUUCAUUUUUUUGGCAUUUAUAGUAAUUCUUGUUGCACACAUAGUUGUUUUCGUCGGAGACGAUCAUUACUAUAGUAGUUGUAGUUGCACAUACAGUUGUUCUCAGUUGGAUCCUAUUAUUGAAAAAUUGCACACAUGGCAAUCAUUUUUUAUUGGCAUCUAUAGUAGUUUUAGUUGCACACAUAGUUGUUUUCAGUUGGACACGAUUAUUGGGAAGUUACACACACGGUGAUCAUUUUUGUUAGCAUCUAUAGUAGUUCUAAUUGCACACAUAUUUGUUCUCAAUUGGAUACGAUCAUUGGAAAGUUGCACACACGGCGACCAUUUUUUGUUGGCAUCUAUAGUACUUCUAGAUAUUAUGCACAUAAUUGUUCUUAGUUAGAUACGGUCAUUCGGAAGUUACACACACGGUGAUCAUUUUUUGUUGGCAUCUACAGUAGUUCUAGUUGCACACAUAGUUGUUUUUAGUUGGACACGAUCAUUGGAAAGUUGCACACACGGCGAUCAUUUUUGGGUGGCAUCUAUAGUAGUUCUAGUUGCACACAUAGUUGUUUUCAGUUGGAUACGGUCAUUGGAAAGUUGCACACACGGCAAUCAUUUUUUGUUGGCAUCUAUAAUAGUUCUAGUUGCACACAUAGUUGUUUUCAGUUGGACACGGUCAUUAGAAGUAGUUGGCAGGGGCAAUAGAAGUAGUUGCACAGAAUCUGCUAGUCAAAACUUCACGGUGGCGAAAGAUUCCUCUUAGUAAAACUGCAAAGAAGAAAGGCGCGCGCGGAGGCAGUAUCCAAAGGGGUAGAUGCCACAUCUUCUGCAGCAGCCGCUGUGGUAACAUAAAGUUCCAUCAGGAAUAUUUUUUUACUCCACAUACAGGCAGCCAAGUGUAUGAAUUUUCAUACAUGAUUGCAGAAGGACUAAUUAAGCAUUGGCAUGCUCAACUUUCCCAGUUGCUCAACGUUGCCAUCUUCAAGUUUUUUAGAAUUGUCCCAAGAGUAUGUAACGACUUGGCAUUCUCAGACUUUCUAGUUGCAGAAUAGUAUCUAAUUAGUUGGCAACCUCAGUAAUUCUAGUUGCACAACAAUAUAUAACUAGUUGACAUCCUCAUCUUUUCUAGUUGCACAAAAACUCAGAUUAGUCCCAUCUUAAAAAAAUUGAGGAUUUCCCUACAGUAUGUAACGACUUGGCACCCUCAGGCUUUCUAGUUGCAGAAGAGUAUCUAUUUAGUUGGCACCCUCGGCAAUUCUAAUUGGACAACAUUAUCCAAGUAGUUGACAUCCUCAGCCUCUCUAGUUGCAUAAGAAUUCAGAUUUAUCCCAUCUUAAAAUUUUUGAGGAUUGCCCAACGGUAUCUAAUCACUUGGCACCCUCAGGAUUUCUAGUUGCAGAAGAGUAUCUAUUUAGUUGGCACCCUCUACAAUUCUAGUUGGACAACAUUAUUCAAGUAGUUGUCAUCCUCAGCCUCUCUAGUUGCACAAGAAUAUCUCAUUAGUUGGCAUCAUCAGCAUUUCUAGUCGCACAAGAAUUUCUCAUUAGUUGUCAUCACCAGCAUUUCUAGUUGCAGAACAAACAUGAUAUCAAGUUGCCAUCCUCAACAUUUUAAUCUAGUUUUCCAGAGAACAAAUAUUUGUAUGUAAUGAUAACUAAUCACCUUUGCCUUUUUUUGCAAACCGCGAGAUAUUGUUCAAGGAAAUGAGAGUAAUGAAGCAGAUAAUGUUGAACGAUAGUCACAAGCUGGCUACCUGAUGGAGACUACUCUGGAUACCUGAUGUUUGAGUUGGAUAGAAUACCUGUUUUAGUUGGCUAUAAUACUCUGGAUACCUGAUGCAUUUUUUUCACCCCUGGAUAUGUUUGUUUGCAGACAUCCAUGUGAAAGUUGGUUUCAAACAAUGGUUUUCUUGCACAGGGAACUGAAUUUCUUAUGCUUUUACUUGAUCUUCCUUCUCUGCUCAAAAUCAUGGAGUUUUUUUUACUUGAUUUGGGAGAUUCAGAGGGAAAGGACAAGGGGGAUAGUCAACAAGGUUUGGACAUGGGAGAGGAGAAGGAUUUCUUACCUUGGCAUUGCUUG
rnacentral:rRNA from 1 species